rnacentral:rRNA from 1 species
GACGGAGGGUGCAAGCGUUGUUCGGAUUGCCUGGGCGGAAAGGGCGUGUAGGCGGUUGGUCAAGUCUGAUGUGAAAGCCCGGGGCUCAGCCCCGGAAGGGCAUCGGAAACUAGCCAGCUGGAGCGCGAUAGAGGAGGGUGGAAUUCCUGGUGUAGCGGUGAAAUGCGUAGAUAUCAGGAGGAACACCGGCGGCGAAGGCGGCCCUCUGGAUCGUUGCUGACGCUGAGACGCGAAAGCGUGGGGAGCAAACAGG